rnacentral:rRNA from 1 species
GAUGAACGCUGGCGGCGUGCCUAAUACAUGCAAGUCGAGCGAACGGACGAGAAGCUUGCUUCUCUGAUGUUAGCGGCGGACGGGUGAGUAACACGUGGAUAACCUACCUAUAAGACUGGGAUAACUUCGGGAAACCGGAGCUAAUACCGGAUAAUAUUUUGAACCGCAUGGUUCAAAAGUGAAAGACGGUCUUGCUGUCACUUAUAGAUGGAUCCGCGCUGCAUUAGCUAGUUGGUAAGGUAACGGCUUACCAAGGCAACGAUGCAUAGCCGACCUGAGAGGGGUAUCGGCCACACUGGAACUGAGACACGGUCCAGACUCCUACGGGAGGCAGCAGUAGGGAAUCUUCCGCAAUUGGCGAAAGCCUGACGGAGCAACGCCGCGUGAGUGAUGAAGGUCUUCGGAUCGUAAAACUCUGUUAUUAGGGAAGAACAUAUGUGUAAGUAACUGUGCACAUCUUGACGGUACCUAAUCAGAAAGCCACGGCUAACUACGUG